UCAGAAUCAGGAGGGAUCCAAGAACAGGCAAUGGCCGUGGAGUUCUGAGGCCGGCAAUGCAGGUUUUGUAUCUUGUCAGGCUCUAAAGGAAACAGAGGAGGCAACACUUUUCAGAACUCAGGGAGAAUUUUUUUUUUUCAGCUCCUUUGGGUCCAACUAGCUCUGAGAUCUAGGUAUAGGAGGGACAGACAGGCAAAUACAGAGUGUCGUGGCUCACCCUAGCAGAGACACAUGAGCAUAAAUCUCCCAGGGAACCAAGGUUGGGGUAGGAAAAGCUGGAGGACAGGUGUGGACAAGUCUGAGUAACAGUUAAAGAAUGCCUUGAUGGGCUUAUUAAUAGUUAGACGUGGCUGAGGACAGUCUCUGAGCCUGAGGAUAUAUCAAUAGAGACCUUCCAAAUGGAAAAAGCAAAGAAAACAAAGACUGAAAAGCAGAACAGAAGAUCGAAGGACCAUGGAACAACCACAAAAGGUGUAUCCUACACAAAAUGGGAAUACCAGAAGAAGAAAGAAAGGAACAGAAGAAAUAUCUGAAACAAGAAUGACUAAGAAUUUCCCACAAAUAAAUGUUAGACACCAACCACAGAUCCAGGAAGCUCAGAAAACACCAAGGAGGAUAUAUGCCAAAAAAACUAUGGCUAGGCAUAUCGUUUUCACACUACAGAAAAUCAAAGAUAAAGAAAAAUUCCUGAAAGAAGCCAGAGGGGGAAAAACAACUUACAUAUAGAGAAGCAAAGUUAAGAAUUAUGUCCUCCUCUGAAGCCAUGCAAACAAAAAGAGAGUGGAGUGAACACUUCUUUCACGUGUUGAGAGAAACAAGUACCUACUAUGUGCCAGGUGCUCUUCUGGGGAUUAUGAACAGUACAGAGGUAAAUAAGACGUUAGCUCUAACCUCUACAAAUGGAAAUGAGUCCAAAAUAGCCAUAACACAAGGUAGAAAGGAAAACAUACCAGAAGAAAUGGUGAGAGAAGGUGCUAUGUGGUGUGACACACAACUUUUAGCUGCUGGCUAUUAGUGAUCAGCAGGAGUUAGUAAAAGCUGUAAGGCAGAGGUGACACUCUGCCAAGGUAUCACGAAAGAGGCAUUCUACGUAGAGAAAAACCAGAAACCCAGGUACCAAAGGAGGAGGUGCCGGAGUGGGAUGGUAGAAAAUUGAGAACUGCAAAUCAUUCAUUAUGGUUGAAGCAUAUUUGUGAGAAAUUGAGUACUGGAAUGAUUUUACAUGAAAAUUAUAAACUUCUAUUCUAUUUAAACUUCUGCUAUUUUGGAUUUUCUGUUACCCAUAGCCUCACCCGAUCCUAAUAAAUACAAGCCUCGAAGAAAACAAAACAAAACAUAACAAAACAAAAACAAGUUCCACCAUAAUCAUUCCUCAUGAAACAGCACUGAGUCUCUCUUUCAUGGCAGUUUUUGUCCUCUUGGGCACUCCCCCUUUUGGUAAAUGCCUCCCUUAAAUUCUAGCACCCGGGACUGAAUACAACAGUCCAGUUGUGACUUAUAAGCCUAGCCUCUAACAGAGUUGUAUGAGCUCUUAAACUGAGCACCUGCGAGGCUGUUGGGAAAGGCAGUCUCAUGUGCAUAGUCUAUCAACCCCCAUUUGGCUGUGUAAGAAAUGGCCCUUGAGCUUAAGAUACUUUCUUACCAAGAGAUGGAGAGCCUACACACCCUGUGCUGGGCUCAUUGCCUUGUGUGGGAGUAUCAUUCCCUGUUGCAAGCUCAAUGUAUGCUCUUUUGUUCUGCUUAAGCAUGUGUGUCACAUGGUAGAUGGCGAACACCAAUGCUAUAGUUGUCCUCUGAGGAGACAGGACAGGGUCCUUCUACUGUGGCCCGAGAGGGGUGCACUUAGCCAACUGCCCUCCAUUGGCUGCUGGAAGAGACCACAGACAAUGCGCCCUUCUGUUUUCUGUUGUCAGGGUUGAAGAUAGCAAGUGCAUCUCUGGGCAACUACUGCAGCUGGCUGUGGGGGACUGAUGCAUACUGUUGAGGCUGAUCUUACUCUGUCUCCUCUCUAUAGAAUCAGCUCAUAAAAGUCAAAGUCCCCAGAGGCUGGACUCCAGUUGAACCAAAGGCUGUCUGUCGUGUUCCGAUUGGACCCCCUGAGAUGACUCACAGAGGCUGGGACUUAAACAGAAGAAAAAUUGUUACUGAGAACAAAACAGAAACACAGGCAUUUUGGCCCACAGAUUAGUCAUGCUGCCACCUAUCCCAAUAGCUUUGCUAUUUUUUGGAGAAUGAA
rnacentral:lncRNA from 10 species